rnacentral:miRNA from 1 species
UAUGUAAUAUGGUCCACUCUU